rnacentral:rRNA from 2 species
AUUGAACGCUGGCGGCAUGCCUUACACAUGCAAGUCGAACGGUAACAGGUCUUCGGACGCUGACGAGUGGCGAACGGGUGAGUAAUACAUCGGAACGUGCCCAGUCGUGGGGGAUAACUACUCGAAAGAGUAGCUAAUACCGCAUACGAUCUGAGGAUGAAAGCGGGGGACCUUCGGGCCUCGCGCGAUUGGAGCGGCCGAUGGCAGAUUAGGUAGUUGGUGGGAUAAAAGCUUACCAAGCCGACGAUCUGUAGCUGGUCUGAGAGGACGACCAGCCACA